rnacentral:tRNA from 1 species
UCUAUUUUGGCAGAAAAGUGCAAUGGAUUUAGAAUCCAGAUAUGUAAAAGUUUAGUUUACAAAUAGAA